rnacentral:rRNA from 1 species
CCUGGUUGAUCCUGCCAGUAACAUAUGCUUGCUUCAAAGAUUAAGCCAUGCAGGUAUUAGUACACACGACUGGUACAGGGAAACUGGGAAUGGCUCAUUAAAUCAGUUAUGGUCACUUUGAUCGCUUCACCCAGUACUUGGAUAACUGUGGCAAUUCCAGAGCUAAUACAUGCAAAUGAGUGCCAACCCUCCAUCGUGGGCAGGAAGACGUGCAUUUAUCAGAUCUAAAACCUGUCGGGGAUCCGGGGGUCCCUUUGGUGACUCUAGAUAACCUCGGGCUGAUCACGUGACCCCCAUGGUGGCAAACACUCUUUUGAAUGUCUGCCCUACCAACUUUCAAUGUUACUUUAGGCCCCUAGCAUGAUGACCAUGGGUAACGGUGUAUCAGGGUUUGAUUCCAGAGAGGGAGCCUGAGAAAUGGCUACCACAUCUAAGUAAGGCAGCAGGCAUGCAAAUUACCCAUUUCCGACUCGGAGAGUUAGUGAUGAAAAAUAACAAUGCAGGUCUAUUUCGAGGACCUAUAAUUGAAAUGAGUGUAUCCUAAACCCAUGGGCGAGGACCCAUUGGAGGGCAAGUCUGGUGCCAGCAGCCGCGGUAAUUCCAGCUCCAAUAGUGUAUAUUAAAGUUGGUGCAGUUAAAAAGCUCACAGUUGGACUUCGGGAGUGAGCCACUGCCUGUCCUGGACCCUGCCUCCCGGCGCCACCCGGAUACCCUUAGCUAGGUAUCCAGUCACCUCAGGGCCUGGAGUGUUUACUUUGAAAAAUGAGAGUUUUCAAAGCAGGCUGCCUGUUGCCGCUGAAUACCACAGAUAGGAACAAUGAAAUUGGACUCCUGUUCUGUUUUGUGGGUUUUUGUAACUCGGGGCCAUGAUUAAGAGGGACGGCAAGGGACAUUCAUAUUGUGCUGCUUGAGGUGAAAAUUUUGGAAGAAAGUUUUCAUUAAUCAAGAACGAAAGUCGGAGGUUCGAAGACCAUCAGAUAUCAUUGUAGUUCCG